AUUUCUUCUUCUUGAAAAGCUGGGAUAAAGUUGACAGUCUUUAUAGAUGAAAGGAGGUGACAGUCGGGGUUAAUCCAAAUAAAUACUCACUUCUCUCAUAAAUUUUAGGCAACCUCAUCUUAACUUUUAAAAGACGGGAAGGAAAGAAGAAAAAAAAAAAACGAACAAUCCCAAAGCAUCACUUUGUACUGAGCUGCAUCCCUUUUCUCACCCUCACUAGAAUCUGCGGGAGGGGGGGGGGGCGGGGACGCUCCACUGAUAAUACCAGCUUUAACUACUGGAGUUUCCCUUUGAACAAAUAUUCAAUUUAACUGGAGUUAAUUUACCAUAAAAGACAUUCCCCUUGGCACGAAUGCACUCAUGUCCUUGAACACACCUCUUUGAAUGCCUGGACUCUUAACAGAAGCCAUUAUUUCGGGGUCUCUUUAAAAAUCCAGCGCCCAUCUCUCUGCUUCCCUCCCUUUCUCCCUCCCUCCCUCCUCACUACACCACCCCCAGCGAAAUCCUGGCACCCAGAGAGCACUCUUUUUCAGCCACAGCCCAGAAACAGCCGUUGUCCCCUGGCAAAAGAGGCCCAGUGCUGAGCCCUGGGCAAGUGUCUCCAGACAUCCCUACCUUUUCUCCCUUUUAUUAGUCUUCUUUCCCAACAGAACCCAUUUCCUUUGCCACUAAAACUAGGUUGCAUCCAAAAGUUUCUCACAAGCUUAAAAAAGAAAAAUUGACACCAUUAUACAGAAGAAUUCACAAAAGCUGCAGAGCGCCAGGGCAGAGAAGCAGCGACAGACACAGGAGUGUGAUGAGAAGAGACAAUAGACCACUGGUGGGGUUUCCUAGGCUUCGCCGAGGCACAGCCAUGGAAAGGGGCUGUUAGCCCUUCCUGCUAAAGCCUGCAACAUGCACACAAGACUGUCUGGAGAAUCUGGUGGCCUCUAGGAAGGAAAGAGAAGAGAUGAAGGAGCCUGAGGAGUCAGCUAGUCCCAAGAAGAAACUGUGCCCAGGACACACAGGACAGGACAGAUGUUUUCAAGUCACUCCAGGGACAGCGUGAGGCUCUCACUGGCCUGCCUGUGUCUCAGAAGUUGCUUUCCUGCCUCUUCCCUGUGAAUUUCCCAAACUCUCUAACCUUGACUCGUGUUCAUUCUUCUCUAUAGUGUGUGUGUAAAGAGUCCUUGAAGCAAUACUGUGAUGGGCUAAGAGUUGUGAGCCUGUGAUGGGCAAGACCCGCACUUGGUACUGCAAAGGAAAUUUCAUGGCAUUGCUCCUGAGUCUGGGAGUCACUGGUCAUCCAGCUCCCAUUUUACCCCAAGAGACAGCCUCUCCCCUAUAACUAGGAAACAGUAGAAUUUAGGAAAAUGGAUAAUUCCACAUUUAAGAGUCUUGAAAUUCUAUACUUGGCAUUUCUGAUUUCAGUUCUAAAAUUCUGUCCCUUAAUCAUAGGGAAAAUAAGAAAUGUAGUUACAACUUUUCAUUAAAAAAAAAACAUUGCAUUAAGAGAAAUGGAAAAUCAUGCCCACAUAAAACAUGUAUAAAAGUGUUCAUGAUUUGAUCAUGACUGGGGCUAUAGCUCAGUCAUGGGGUGCUCGCAUAGCAAUGGGCAGAAUCCAAGGUUUAGGCCCCAGCACUGAAAAAAGAGAAGCAGAAGGAGCAGAGGUAUUCACAGCAGAAUUUUCAAUAUAGGAAUGAAGGGGAAAGAGAUUAAAUGCCUCCUGAGGAAUGGCUAAGUGUAAAGUGGCUUAUCUAUAUAGCUGGAUACUAGUCGGCAGUAGAAAGGUUUGAAAUGAUAGAUAUGAUGGAUGAUUCUUUAGACAUCUUCCUAAGUAAUGAAGCCAAUCACAAGGAAAGGCAUAUAGUCCGUAUUUCUGGAGUGUAUUGGCAUACCAGUAUAGAGCAUGGCACAAUACUGGUUACCUGGCCUUGGAGAGAUGAACUGGGCUUUGGGAGAUGGCAGAGUGGACCAGAAGUUACUGGAGUGGUGAUUAAAAAAAAAAAUGUCCUUGAACUAACUGAAGUGAUGCUUGUUCCACUUGAUAACUGCAUUUAAAAACCACUGAAUUUUACUUCUGAAUGGGUGACUUGAAUGGUAUGUUCAUUAUAUCUCAAUAAAGCCAUGAGUAUUUUAAAGAGA